AACCAGUACCGUGAGGGAAAGGUGAAAAGCACCCCGGAAGGGGAGUGAAAGAGAUCCUGAAACCGUGUGCCUACAAAUAGUCAGAGCCCGUUAAUGGGUGAUGGCGUGCCUUUUGUAGAAUGAACCGGCGAGUUACGAUCCCGUGCAAGGUUAAGCUGAAGAGGCGGAGCCGCAGCGAAAGCGAGUCUGAAUAGGGCGUUUAGUACGUGGUCGUAGACCCGAAACCAGGUGAUCUACCCAUGUCCAGGGUGAAGUUCAGGUAACACUGAAUGGAGGCCCGAACCCACGCACGUUGAAAAGUGCGGGGAUGAGGUGUGGGUAGCGGAGAAAUUCCAAUCGAACCUGGAGAUAGCUGGUUCUCCCCGAAAUAGCUUUAGGGCUAGCCUUAAGUGUAAGAGUCUUGGAGGUAGAGCACUGAUUGAACUAGGGGUCCUCAUCGGAUUACCGAAUUCAGUCAAACUCCGAAUGCCAAUGACUUAUCCUUAGGAGUCAGACUGCGAGUGAUAAGAUCCGUAGUCAAGAGGGAAACAGCCCAGAUCGCCAGCUAAGGUCCCAAAGUGUGUAUUAAGUGGAAAAGGAUGUGGAGUUGCUUAGACAACUAGGAUGUUGGCUCAGAAGCAGCCACCAUUUAAAGAGUGCGUAAUAGCUCACUAGUCGAGUGACUCUGCGCCGAAAAUGUACCGGGGCUAAAUACACCACCGAAGCUGCGAAUUGAUACCAAUGGUAUCAGUGGUAGGGGAGCGUUCUAAGUGCAGUGAAGUCAGACCGGAAGGACUGGUGGAGCGCUUAGAAGUGAGAAUGCCGGUAUGAGUAGCGAAAGACGGGUGAGAAUCCCGUCCACCGAAUGCCUAAGGUUUCCUGAGGAAGGCUCGUCCGCUCAGGGUUAGUCAGGACCUAAGCCGAGGCCGACAGGCGUAGGCGAUGGACAACAGGUUGAUAUUCCUGUACCACCUCUUUAUCGUUUGAGCAAUGGAGGGACGCAGAAGGAUAGAAGAAGCGUGCGAUUGGUUGUGCACGUCCAAGCAAUUAGGCUGAUAAGUAGGCAAAUCCGCUUAUCGUGAAGGCUGAGCUGUGAUGGGGAAGCUCCUUAUGGAGCGAAGUCUUUGAUUCCCCGCUGCCAAGAAAAGCUUCUAGCGAGAUAAAAGGUGCCUGUACCGCAAACCGACACAGGUAGGCGAGGAGAGAAUCCUAAGGUGUGCGAGAGAACUCUGGUUAAGGAACUCGGCAAAAUGACCCCGUAACUUCGGGAGAAGGGGUGCUUUCUUAACGGAAAGCCGCAGUGAAUAGGCCCAAGCGACUGUUUAGCAAAAACACAGGUCUCUGCGAAGCCGUAAGGCGAAGUAUAGGGGCUGACACCUGCCCGGUGCUGGAAGGUUAAGGAGAGGGGUUAGCGUAAGCGAAGCUCUGAACUGAAGCCCCAGUAAACGGCGGCCGUAACUAUAACGGUCCUAAGGUAGCGAAAUUCCUUGUCGGGUAAGUUCCGACCCGCACGAAAGGUGUAACGAUUUGGGCACUGUCUCAACCAGAGACUCGGUGAAAUUAUAGUACCUGUGAAGAUGCAGGUUACCCGCGACAGGACGGAAAGACCCCGUGGAGCUUUACUGUAGCCUGAUAUUGAAUUUUGGUACAGUUUGUACAGGAUAGGCGGGAGCCAUUGAAACCGGAGCGCUAGCUUCGGUGGAGGCGCUGGUGGGAUACCGCCCUGACUGUAUUGAAAUUCUAACCUACGGGUCUCAUCGACCCGGGAGACAGUGUCAGGUGGGCAGUUUGACUGGGGCGGUCGCCUCCUAAAGUGUAACGGAGGCGCCCAAAGGUUCCCUCAGAAUGGUUGGAAAUCAUUCGUAGAGUGCAAAGGCAUAAGGGAGCUUGACUGCGAGACCUACAAGUCGAGCAGGGACGAAAGUCGGGCUUAGUGAUCCGGUGGUUCCGCAUGGAAGGGCCAUCGCUCAACGGAUAAAAGCUACCCCGGGGAUAACAGGCUUAUCUCCCCCAAGAGUCCACAUCGACGGGGAGGUUUGGCACCUCGAUGUCGGCUCAUCGCAUCCUGGGGCUGUAGUCGGUCCCAAGGGUUGGGCUGUUCGCCCAUUAAAGCGGUACGCGAGCUGGGUUCAGAACGUCGUGAGACAGUUCGGUCCCUAUCCGUCGUGGGCGCAGGAAAUUUGAGAGGAGCUGUCCUUAGUACGAGAGGACCGGGAUGGACGCACCGCUGGUGUACCAGUUGUUCUGCCAAGGGCAUAGCUGGGUAGCUAUGUGCGGAAGGGAUAAGUGCUGAAAGCAUCUAAGCAUGAAGCCCCCCUCAAGAUGAGAUUUCCCAUAGCGUAAGCUAGUAAGAUCCCUGAAAGAUGAUCAGGUUGAUAGGUUCGAGGUGGAAGCAUGGUGACAUGUGGAGCUGACGAAUACUAAUAGAUCGAGGACUUAACCAU
rnacentral:rRNA from 1 species